GUCUCUCCCACUUUACAGGUAGAGAGGCUGAGGUUCAGAGAGAUUAGGUAACUCAACUAAGGUCAAAAAGUUGGUCAGGGAGCUGGGCCUUUAUAUAAAACACCAAAAUGAGCCCUUGUGUAGAACCCUUGAGAGAGAUUUUAAUCUAAUGGCUGCAAUUUUAAAUUGUGUUCAGUUGUGGUAUGUAGUUUUUCAAGGAAGAUGACCCACAGCCUUUCUUGCUUUCUGGCUUUGGAAAAGGUAGAGAUGACCACUUAAACAUUCAAGGAAAAUAAUCCCUGACUUUGAAAUCAGAAGAUCAUUCAGAUAAUAUACUUACUUAUAAUCAUCCUCUCUAAUGUCUGACUAAAGCAAGAGUAAAAGAUUGACUGAACAGCAACAAAUACUUUAACAGUUAAAAAUAAAAUUGAUUGGUCUGUUGGAAACACAAAGCACUUUUAGCCCCAUUGGUUUUCUACCUGAAACCAGAGUGAAGUGACCUGAAGGAUCUCAUAAGAUAUAUAAGACCAGCAACUAUAGGAAAGAUGAUACUUUUCUUGAAGUCAUAUAUUGUCUAAGUUGAAGUUACAUGACUUAGAAGGUCAGAUGUGCCAUCUUUUCCCUUAAUGCCCCAGAGAUUCUCUUCACCAAGAAAAUGACUACAUACUUAUUUCAUUUAAAACAGACUCAGCCUAGUGAUGGUUUUCCUUCUUCUAUAAAAAAGCAGGCUAUUCAUGAAGAUAAGGACCCUUUUGGCUUUGCAACACGUUUUCAACAUUUUACUCAUGGACAUGAGAUGGUAAAACAAGAUGAAAAUGAUUCUUUUAUUGGGCAUUCAAUUAAAAAAUGUCAUGACUUUGCCAUUAGUUUGUAUAAAUCCUAGAAAUGAGUUUCAACGAGAGUGUGUUAUUAUGUUGGGAAAGAGACGGAAGUGUAUAACCUUGGGCAGAUCGUUUAACUUCUCUCUGCUUUACAGUUACAAGCGGUAAUACAAAGAGACAGGAUUAUAUGAUCUCCAAGGUCCCAUCCAGCCCAUUUAACACGGCAUUGUGGCUCUGGAGACCUGGAAGCACUGCUAACUGUUCUCUCGAUUUUCUGACGCUCGGCCACAUCAACCUGUCAUACUAGUUGUGAGGAGAAGUCAAGGACAGUGACACAGCCAGCCAGUCUGAGGCAUUUUCCAUCAUCCUGAAGGAGUUGCCCUAUCCUGCUUUUCACUGGAGGGGGCAUGGAUGGGGGCUCCUGACACACUGACCUCUGUCAGUUCCUUCAGCACACCAGGCUAAUCCCCAGUCUUGCGCCUUUGGACCAGAGGUUUUCUUUGCUCAGAAUACUGUUUCAACAGAUCUUUGCAUAGCUGGCUCUCGCUAUUUGACUAAAAUGUCAAUCCUCAGAGAGGUACUCCUUAAAUAUCCAAUCUUAAGUAGCAUCCCUUUCUCCCAGGAUCCUGUUUUUCAGAACUCUGUUUUCUUUUUAAAACACUUGUUAUCUGAAAGGAUGUCGUCUGCUUGCUUGUUUGUUCAUUUCUUUAUUGUCUAUUCCAUCUCACCCCUUCUCAGGAUGUAAGCUGUUUAAAGGCAAGGACCUUAUCUGUGUUACAUGCUGUAUUCCCAGGGCUCAGACAGAGCAUGACCUAUCGUAUGUACUAA
rnacentral:lncRNA from 1 species